rnacentral:rRNA from 1 species
AUUGAACGCUAGCGGGAUGCUUUACACAUGCAAGUCGAACGAGUGGCGGACGGGUGAGUAAUAUAUGGGCCCCUGCCCAGUAGCGGGGUAUAACUACUCGAAACUAUGACUAAUACCGCCUACUAUUGGCGAGGCCGAUAUCGGAAUAGCUAGUGGGUGGGGUAAAGGCUCACCAAGGCCACGAUCCGUCGCUGGUGUGAGAGGAGUACCAGCCAAACGGGGACUGAGACACGGCCCAGACUCCUACGGGAGGCAGCAGUGGGGAAUUUUGGACAAUGGGGGAAACCCUGAUCCAGCCAUCCCGCGUGUAUGAGAAGGCCUUCGGGUUGUAAAGUACUUUUGGCAGAGAAGCGGUAUCUGCAGAAUAAGCACCGGCUAACUACGUGCCAGCAGCCGCGGUAAUAC